rnacentral:rRNA from 1 species
UACGUAGGGGUCGAGCGUUGUCCGGACUUACUGGGCGUAAAGCGUGGGUAGGUGGCUGGUGAUGUGCCGUGUGAAAGCGCUGCGCUUCUCGCGGCGAGGUCGCGGUAGACACACCAGCUAGAGGCACGGAGAGGGGCGUAGAAUUCCCGGUGUAGUGGUGAAAUGCGUAGAUAUCGGGAGGAAUACCAGUGGCGCAAGCGGCGCCCUGGCCGUGACCUGACACUGAGCCACGACGGCGUGGGGAGCAAACGGG